rnacentral:lncRNA from 1 species
GUACAAUAUGUGUUAAACAAAAAAUAAUCGUAGAAAAUUAAAGCUGCAUAUAGAAACUCUAAAUCAAUAGUUUAGUGAUUGAAAAAAGUUGAUUAAAUUAGCUAUAACAAUAAGUAAAAAUAAUAAAUAAUGAUGCAAUCUCAAUCUGAACGCAAGAUUUGAAACUAAUACUAUGAUAAAAAUAUUAAAUAUAUACACUAAAUUUAUGUUUUAGUAAGUAUUAUUAUACCUCGUUUUAAUUUUCAUCUAAUAUAAGAUGUCAUGAACCUGCACCUUCUUCGUAACCAUGUUGCUAAU